CCCAAGUAGGCAACAUUUGCAAGGACUUGAGCAUCUGCUCCCAUUUUUACAUCUCCCAGUUAAGAGAGAACAUCGGCAGCAACCACAGGCUUUAAUACAUUUACAUUAUUUGUGGUAUUAAAUCUAUUGGAACCUUACCUCUGAGCUUCUAUUGACUUCUCCUGGUUCAACACUGAGGUGAAGGAAAAAGGAGGAAGUUUCACUGAGAUCCAUCUCAUCUGAUUACAAAGCUGAU